rnacentral:rRNA from 1 species
AUUGAACGCUGGCGGCAUGCCUUACACAUGCAAGUCGAACGGUAACGCGGGGCAACCUGGCGACGAGUGGCGAACGGGUGAGUAAUGUAUCGGAACGAGCCCAGUUGUGGGGGAUAACUGCUCGAAAGAGCAGCUAAUACCGCAUACGACCUGAGGGUGAAAGCGGGGGAUCGCAAGACCUCGCGCAAUUGGAGCGGCCGAUAUCAGAUUAGGUAGUUGGUGGGGUAAAGGCCCACCAAGCCAACGAUCUGUAGCUGGUCUGAGAGGACGACCAGCCACACUGGGACUGAGACACGGCCCAGACUCCUACGGGAGGCAGCAGUGGGGAAUUUUGGACAAUGGACGCAAGUCUGAUCCAGCCAUGCCGCGUGCGGGAAGAAGGCCUUCGGGUUGUAAACCGCUUUUGUCAGGGGAGAAACGCUCUGGGUUAAUACCUCGGGGUAAUGACGGUACCUGAAGAAUAAGCACCGGCUAACUACGUGCCAGCCGCCGCCGUAACAC